AUGAAGUGGAAACACAGGUGCUGUGCUUCUAGCUGUGUGGUGAACUUGUCAUCUCAGCAUAGAGAUUAAUGAGCUUUCUUCCUCCAGAUCAACCUUUGGAUUUUCUCUGAUGCAGCAAUAGCUUUAUUUAUUCCACAGACAGGGUGAAGAAUUUCUGUGAAAAUUUCAAGGUGAAAAGGGUGUAACAUUUCUCAGAUGCUCAAAGGUGUUAUCCCCUACACUGGUCAUGACUGAUCCAUGCUGGUUUUUCUGAGAGGUGACACUAUGCUAAAUGAGAAAUGAUAUUGCAAUUGCUAAUGAUAGAUAUUAUUGGCAUUUUUCUCUUCAUCACCUGUGUAGGUUUUCAAGGGCACCUUACAGUUAGAAUCAAGCUCUGAUGCAUCUGUUCAGGCUGUGACCACCCUUUUGAGUCCAGCCUUAAUGGGAACAUUAACCAAUAAGAGGUUAUUGGCUAAGGAGGAUCUACUCCAUAAAAAAACAAAACCAAAAACCAAAAAACUCCCAUUGCCUUUCUGUGAAAUACAUCAACAUCUGUAAAAGUUUCCUGUGUGUCUCUUCUGAACCUUUUGAUUUUUUAGGUUUUGUUGGUUUUUUUCCUCCUAGGAUUCCCUUCUUUAGUCAUUAGUCAUUCAGUGCAGAGGCUGUGGCUGCACAGGAGCUUUCCCUAGAAGUGGGGAUGCACAAUGGAUGGGAUUCUUGGCAAUCAGCCAAGUCAGAGAAAUGGGUAUCUGAAGAAGGGGCCUUCCCAGUCCCAAGGGAACAUGAUCAAUAGCUCUUCUGUUGUAGGUGAGUCUCAGUCAAGCACUCUGCAUGAGCUUGAAUUUCCAUUAUUAUGUAGAGUCCUACUGUAAAUCUGUCUAGAUUGAAAGUUCCCUCAGGUGCGAGCAUGGCUGAGGUGCAGAUAUGUCUCAAUAUAUGUAAAAUAAUGAAAAGAAAAGGGAAAAAAAAAGGAGGAAAAAUAACUCCACACCUAUAUUAGCUCAGUUCUCAGCUGCACUCUGUUCUACUGA
rnacentral:lncRNA from 1 species